rnacentral:rRNA from 1 species
GAUGAACGCUGGCGGCGUGCUUAACACAUGCAAGUCGAACGGAAAGGCCCUGCUUUUGUUGGUUUCUCGAUUGGCGAACGGGUGUGUAACACGUGAGUAUCAUGCCCUUGUCUUUGUGAUAACUUCAGGAAACUCGGGCUCAUACCCCAUAGGAUCUCCUGCUGCAUGGUGGUGGUUGGUGAGUUUCGGCUGUUGGGGAUCGACUGGCGGCUUCUCCGCUUGUUGGUGGGGUAGUGGCUUACAAAGGCUUUGAAGGGUAGGCGGCAUAGGAGGGGUGACGGGCACAUUGGGACUGAGAGACGGCCCAGUCGCCUACGGGAGGCAGCAGUGGGGAAUAUGGCACAAUGGGCGGAAGCCUGAGGCAGCGACGCCGCGUGCGUGAUGACGGCCUUCGGGUUGUAAACCGCUUUCGCCUGUGACGAAGAGUGAGUGACGGUAAUGGGUAAAGAAGCACCGGCUAACUACGUG